CGGGCACCGGCGAGGCCCGGAGGGCGUCGGCCCGUCGUUGCCGGGCCGGCGCGGCGGCGAGGUUCCACGCCCCGGCGACCAGCC
rnacentral:tRNA from 1 species